CAGUGUGGAAAUGCCAACUGUACAUCUCUAACAACUUAUUUAAUAAACUCCCUACAAUACUUAACCCUUUAACAAUCAAGUCUCAGAUUCUAGAUCAUUACAAUUCAGUCCCUAUUUCCUUACAAUUCACCCAUUUACUAUAGCUACUUAUUAUUCUUGUGAUCGAAGUGAUCACAGGCCUGCAAUUCAUAACACCAUCUCCCCCAUCACGUCCUCCCCUCUUCGCCAUUUCUCGCUCUUUAAGUCUGUGUUAUGUGUGCCCAUUUUUUUUUAUUUGUUUACGUUUUGAAUUCUGAGUUUUGAACUUCUGGGUUUGGAUUGUUGUUGUGCUUUUUUUUAUUUGGGGCAGGCCUCCGGGUGCGUUGGGAUGCAUUCAGUCACUACUAUCACUCCACAGCGCGAUGGCGGCGGCGAGGCUGACGUCAUCGCUGAGCACUACAUCGAGGAGUUGCCGAGCGCUCUCAUAGGGUACUCUCUGCCGCACCCCUCCCGGCCUCUAAUAAAACAUUUUGCUUUCUUUUCUAACUGCACAUAAUGUCCAUUAUGCUUGAACCUGCUAGUUAAGGCCUGCUGCGUCAUUACCAAAUGGAAUUGAUGAUACGUGAGACAUGUAUGCAGUAUAUGGAGAGCUUGGUCUGUCAGUUCCGAGGUGAUUCGUAGCAGAGGCUCUCUUCGUUACAAGAAGUCACCCUUCACAAGAAUGGAUAAGCAAACAUUUUGUAGUUUUAUUUAUUCAAAACCCUUACUGAAGUUAAAAUUGAUUCGUCCUACAAGAUGGGAUGCUACAGCUUGGUACAUAAUAGUCCAAUUGGCUCGUUCAAUACUAUGUAUUUAUGAAUCUUUCAUUUCGAAUGUAAGUCCAUGUCUUUACAGAAAGUACUCGCCUUCUUUCUCAAGUAAAGUUUAUCAUGCUUGAUGUC